GAUGAACGCUGGCGGCGUGCUUAACACAUGCAAGUCGAACGGAAAGGCUCCUGCUUGCAGGGGUACUCGAGUGGCGAACGGGUGAGUAACACGUGGGUGAUCUGCCCUGCACUUCGGGAUAAGCCUGGGAAACUGGGUCUAAUACCGGAUAGGACGAUGGUUUGGAUGCCAUUGUGGAAAGUUUUUUCGGUGUGGGAUGAGCUCGCGGCCUAUCAGCUUGUUGGUGGGGUAAUGGCCUACCAAGGCGUCGACGGGUAGCCGGCCUGAGAGGGUGUACGGCCACAUUGGGACUGAGAUACGGCCCAGACUCCUACGGGAGGCAGCAGUGGGGAAUAUUGCACAAUGGGCGCAAGCCUGAUGCAGCGACGCCGCGUGGGGGAUGACGGCCUUCGGGUUGUAAACUCCUUUCGCUAGGGACGAAGCGCAAGCGACGGUACCUGGAGAAGAAGCACCGGCUAACUACGUG
rnacentral:rRNA from 1 species